CAAACAUAUCCCGUAUAUGUUGAUAGUUUUCUACCAGAAGCGUCAAACUUGACUGAUAAAAUGAAAGCUGUAUUUCUGGUCUCCUGCAUUUUGUUGCUGUCGGUAGCAGCUGUUGUAUAUGCAGACGAGUGUACUGGUAUGUGUACAGCGGAUUGGACCCCAGUUUGUGGAGACAAUGGCGUGACAUAUGGAAACAACUGUACCCGUAUCUGCAGCGGCGCUGGUUUUGCAAAAAAUGGCAAUUGUUUGUAGAUUAUGAUCAACUUAUAUUAAAAGAAAGACUCAAAUUGAAGAUGUAAACUGUAGUAAAGAAAAGAUUAAAAAAUAAAUGGCUUCGUUCUUACUUAAUAACUUGUCCCUAUCUCAUGUUUGAAAAUGUGAACUAUUACUACAUAGUAUUUAUGUAAAAGUAAAUUUUAACACGAUUGUACAUAUUUUCUAAUAUUAUGCACUAGGUUUAAAGAAGAACACACUUUUAAUACAUGUAUAACUAAACACAGUAUAAAUGUGUACUACCACUAAAGAACUGGAAGCUGUUUAAACCAGCAUUUUAUUAUGACUGAUUCCUUACAUAUAUAGUUAGUUUAUAUAUCUAGUAAAAAAUAUUAAAAUUU
rnacentral:lncRNA from 1 species